rnacentral:misc_RNA from 1 species
GAUGAAGAACGCAGUGAAAUGCGAUAAGUAGUGUGAAUUGCAGAAUUCAGUGAAUCAUCGAAUCUUUGAACGCACAUUGCGCCCUUUGGCAUUCCGAAGGGCAUACCUGUUCGAGCGUCAUUUCAACCGUCAAGCCUGGCUUGGUGUUGGGCGUCUUGUCCCGCCGCGUGCGUGGACUCGCCUCAAAAGAAUCGGCGUCUGUAUGUUGGCCUAAUGCGUAGCACAAUUCGCAGACCAGGCAGGCAUACCGGCGGCCGGAAAGCAACCUUUUUUUUUUUUGUUUGACCUCGGAUCAGGUAGGGAUACCCGCUGAACUUAAGCAUAUCAAUAAGCGGAGGA